rnacentral:rRNA from 1 species
CGCGAAAACUUUACAAUGCGGGAAACCGUGAUAAGGGGACACCGAGUGCCAGCAUCAUAUGUUGGCUGUCCAGAUGUGCAAAAUACAUCUGUUAGCAAGGGCCGGGCAAGACCGGUGCCAGCCGCCGCGGUAACUCCGGCGGCCCGAGUGGUGAUCUUGAUUAUUGGGUCUAAAGGGUCCGUAGCCGGUUUGGUCAGUCCUCCGGGAAAUCUGACGGCUCAACCGUUAGGCUUUCGGUGGAUACUGCCAGACUUGGAACCGGGAGAGGUAAGAGGUACUACAGGGGUAGGAGUGAAAUCUUGUAAUCCCUGUGAGACCACCCGUGGCGAAGGCGUCUUACCAGAACGGGUUCGACGGUGAGGGACGAAAGCUGGGGGCACGAACCGGAUUAUAUACCCGGGUAAUCCCAGGCAGUAAACUAUGCUC